rnacentral:lncRNA from 1 species
ACACACGCACCCAGUUUCAAGGUGUCAAUAGGGCAUGUCGGCUGCGCCGGUGGAGGAGACGGCACCACCGGAGGUGGUGGUGGACACGGGGUUUCCGUAGGAGGGCUUGGUGGUGUAACCACGGGAGGUGUUGGUGUAGGUGGUGUAACAAUCGGUGGGGUUGGUGUAGGUGGUGUAACAAUAGGUGGUGAUGGUACAACUGGGGGUAGUGGAACAUAAGGUGGAGGGUAAACAAUUGGUGGUUUCACAAUAGGAGGUGUUGGAACAUAAGGUGGAGGGUAAACAAUUGGUGGUUUCACAAUAGGAGGUUUUGGAACAUAAGGUGGAGGGUAAACAAUGGGUGGUUUUGGCACAUAAGGUGGUGUCACCGGUACAACCGGUGGCUUAGGCACAUAUGGCGGUGUAACUGGUACAACAGGUGGUUUUGGCACAUAAGGUGGAGAAACAACUGGUGGCUUAGGAACAUAAGGUGGUGGUUUCACAACUGGUGGUUUAGGCACAUAAGGAGGUUUCACAAUUGGUGGUUUGGGAACAUGGGGUGGUUUUGGCACAUAAGGUGGUUUCACAAUUGGUGGUUUUGGAACAUGGGGUGGUUUCACAACUGGUGGUUUUGGCACAUGAGGUGGUUUAACCACUGGAGGCUUGGGAUAGUGAGGUGGUUUUGGUGAUGGCUUGGGGGGUGGACAUGGUUCCGGGCCAUGAGAUGGAGGGUACUUUGGGGGGUUAUGAACUG